AAUGGGUCAGCGACUUAUAUUCUGUAGCAAGGUUAACCGAAUAGGGGAGCCGAAGGGAAACCGAGUCUUAACUGGGCGUUAAGUUGCAGGGUAUAGACCCGAAACCCGGUGAUCUAGCCAUGGGCAGGUUGAAGGUUGGGUAACACUAACUGGAGGACCGAACCGACUAAUGUUGAAAAAUUAGCGGAUGACUUGUGGCUGGGGGUGAAAGGCCAAUCAAACCGGGAGAUAGCUGGUUCUCCCCGAAAGCUAUUUAGGUAGCGCCUCGUGAAUUCAUCUCCGGGGGUAGAGCACUGUUUCGGCAAGGGGGUCAUCCCGACUUACCAACCCGAUGCAAACUGCGAAUACCGGAGAAUGUUAUCACGGGAGACACACGGCGGGUGCUAACGUCCGUCGUGAAGAGGGAAACAACCCAGACCGCCAGCUAAGGUCCCAAAGUCAUGGUUAAGUGGGAAACGAUGUGGGAAGGCCCAGACAGCCAGGAUGUUGGCUUAGAAGCAGCCAUCAUUUAAAGAAAGCGUAAUAGCUCACUGGUCGAGUCGGCCUGCGCGGAAGAUGUAACGGGGCUAAACCAUGCACCGAAGCUGCGGCAGCGACGCUGAUGCGUUGUUGGGUAGGGGAGCGUUCUGUAAGCCUG
rnacentral:rRNA from 1 species